rnacentral:rRNA from 1 species
UACACACCGCCCGUCACACCACGAAAGUCGCUUGGACCAGAAGUCGGUGCGCUAACCCGUAAGGGGAGCAGCCGCCCAAGGUCUGAGCGGUGAUUGGGGUG